rnacentral:tRNA from 1 species
GGCCUCGUAGCCCAGCUGGUAGAGCGUGCGCGUACAAAGCGUAGGCGGCGUCCAUGCGUGAGUUCGAAUCCCACCGAGGCUA